rnacentral:rRNA from 1 species
GACGAACGCUGGCGGCGUGCUUAACACAUGCAAGUCGAACGGAAAGGCCCUGCUUUUGUGGGGUGCUCGAGUGGCGAACGGGUGAGUAACACGUGAGUAACCUGCCCUUGACUUUGGGAUAACUUCAGGAAACUGGGGCUAAUACCGGAUAGGAGCUCCUGCUGCAUGGUGGGGGUUGGAAAGUUUCGGCGGUUGGGGAUGGACUCGCGGCUUAUCAGCUUGUUGGUGGGGUAGUGACUUACCAAGGCUUUGACGGGUAGCCGGCCUGAGAGGGUGACCGGCCACAUUGGGACAGAGAUACGGCCCAGACUCCUACGGGAGGCAGCAGUGGGGAAUAUUGCACAAUGGGCGGAAGCCUGAUGCAGCAACGCCGCGUGCGGGAGGACGGCCUUCGGGUUGUAAACCGCUUUCGCCUGUGACGAAGCGUGAGUGACGGUAAUGGGGAAAGAAGCACCGGCUAACUACGU